rnacentral:rRNA from 1 species
UACGGAGGGGGGCUAGCGUUGUUCGGAAUUACUGGGCGUAAAGCGCGCGUAGGCGGCUUUGUAAGUUAGAGGUGAAAGCCCGGAGCUUAACUCCGGAAUUGCCUUUAAGACUGCAUCGCUAGAAUCAUGGAGAGGUGAGUGGAAUUCCGAGUGUAGAGGUGAAAUUCGUAGAUAUUCGGAAGAACACCAGUGGCGAAGGCGACUCACUGGACAUGUAUUGACGCUGAGGUGCGAAAGCGUGGGGAGCAAACAGG